AGAGGGAACAGUGCACAAAAUUUCUGAACAAGAAUCUGAGCACUACUUCUACAGUCGUCCAAUAGAAAGUCAAAUUGCAGCUUUAGUUAGCAAGCAGAGUAUUGUAAUUCCUAAUCGUCAGACUCUCCACAACGAAUACAAAGAUUUGGAGACCAAGUACUAUGAUGGAAAUGUGAUUCCCAAACC